AGCGAACGCUGGCGGCAGGCCUAACACAUGCAAGUCGAACGACCCCUUCGGGGCUAGUGGCGGACGGGUGGGUACCACGUGGGAACGUGCCUUUAGGUACGGAAUAACUCAGGGAAACUAGUGCUAAUACCGCAUGUGUCCUUCGGGGGAAAGAUUACUCGCCUCUAGAGCGGCCCGCGUCUGCUUAGCUAGUUGGUUGAGGUAAUGGCUCACCAAGGCGACGAUCGGUAACUGGGCUGUGAGGAUGACCAGCAACAUUGGGACUGAGAGACGGCCCAAACUCUUACGCGAGGCAGGAGUGGGGAAUCUUGCACAACGGGCGAAAGGCUGACGCAGCCAGGCUGCGUGAGUGAUGAAGGUCGGAGGGUAGUAAAUGUCUUUCACCCGGGAGGAUGAUGACGGUACCCGGAGAAGAAGCCCCGGCUAACUUCGUG
rnacentral:rRNA from 1 species